CCACGUUUGACANGUCCAGUUUGGGCUGCAGAGAUGNGGUCCUUCAGUUCGGCUGGCUGGAACACAGGUGCUGCAUGGCUGUCGUCAGCUCGUGUCGUGAGAUGUUGGGUUAAGUCCCGCAACGAGCGCAACCCUCGCUACUAGUUGCCAUCAGGUUAUGCUGGGCACUCUAGUGGAACUGCCGGUGGCAAGCCGGAGGAAGGNGGGGAUGACGUCAAGUCCUCAUGGCCCUUACGCGUGGGGCUACACACGUGCUACAAUGGUGGUGACAGAGGGAUAAUCCCUAAAAGCCAUCUCAGUUCGGAUUGUCCUCUGCAACUCGAGGGCAUGAAGUUGGAAUCGCUAGUAAUCGCGGAUCAGCAUGCCGCGGUGAAUA
rnacentral:rRNA from 1 species